GACGAACGCUGGCGGCGUGCUUAACACAUGCAAGUCGAACGGAAAGGCCCUGCUUUUGUGGGGUGCUCGAGUGGCGAACGGGUGAGUAACACGUUAGUAACCUGCCCUUGACUUUGGGAUAACUUCAGGAAACUGGGGCUAAUACCGGAUAGGAGCUCCUGCUGCAUGGUGGGGGUUGGAAAGUUUCGGCGGUUGGGGAUGGACUCGCGGCUUAUCAGCUUGUUGGUGGGGUAGUGGCUUACCAAGGCUUUGACGGGUAGCCGGCCUGAGAGGGUGACCGGCAACAUUGGGACUGAGAUACGGCCCAGACUCCUACGGGAGGCAGCAGUGGGGAAUAUUGCACAAUGGGCGGAAGCCUGAUGCAGCAACGCCGCGUGCGGGAUGACGGCCUUCGGGUUGUAAACCGCUUUCGCCUGUGACGAAGCGUGAGUGACGGUAAUGGGUAAAGAAGCACCGGCUAACUACGUG
rnacentral:rRNA from 1 species